ACUGGGGUGGCAGAGCAUGGUAAUUGCAAAAGACCUAAACCCUUUCGACCAGGGGUUCAAAUCCCCUCCCUAGU
rnacentral:tRNA from 1 species